rnacentral:rRNA from 1 species
GUAGGGAAUAUUGGACAAUGGGGGGAACCCUGAUCCAGCCAUGCCGCGUGGAGGAAGACUGCCCUCUGGGUUGUAAACUCCUUUUAUAUGGGAAGAACCGUCCUCAUUAAUGAGUGACCUGACGGUACCAUAGGAAUAAGCACCGGCUAACUCCGUGCCAGCAGCCGCGGUAAUACGGAGGGUGCAAGCGUUAUCCGGAGUCACUGGGUUUAAAGGGUGCGUAGGCGGAUAAAUAAGUCAGUGGUGAAAUCAACGGGCUCAACCUGUUAACUGCCAUUGAUACUGUGUAUCUUGAAUAUGAGAGAGGUAGGCGGAAUGUUGCAUGUAGCGGUGAAAUGCUUAGAUAUGCUACGGAACACCGAUUGCGAAGGCAGCUUACUAUUUCGUAAUUGACGCUGAGGCACGAAAGCGUGGGUAGCGAACAGGAUUAGAUACCCCAGUAGUCC